rnacentral:rRNA from 1 species
UGGGGAAUUUUGGACAAUGGGCGAAAGCCUGAUCCAGCAAUGCCGCGUGUGUGAAGAAGGCCUUCGGGUUGUAAAGCACUUUUGUCCGGAAAGAAAUCCUUGGCUCUAAUACAGUCGGGGGGAUGACGGUACCGGAAGAAUAAGCACCGGCUAACUACGUGCCAGCAGCCGCGGUAAUACGUAGGGUGCAAGCGUUAAUCGGAAUUACUGGGCGUAAAGCGUGCGCAGGCGGUUUGCUAAGACCGAUGUGAAAUCCCCGGGCUCAACCUGGGAACUGCAUUGGUGACUGGCAGGCUAGAGUAUGGCAGAGGGGGGUAGAAUUCCACGUGUAGCAGUGAAAUGCGUAGAGAUGUGGAGGAAUACCGAUGGCGAAGGCAGCCCCCUGGGCCAAUACUGACGCUCAUGCACGAAAGGCGUGGGGAGCAAACAGGAUUAGAUACCCUGGUAGUCCACGCCCUAAACGAUGUCAACUAGUUGUUGGGGAUUCAUUUCCUAGUAACGUAGCUAACGCGUGAAGUUGACCGCCUGGGGGAGUACGGUCGCAAGAUUAAAACUCAAAUGAAUUGAC